AUAUGUUAUGAAGGGCCACACAUUAUUAAUAAUCAGUUUUCUUCCAAAAUAUGUCCUAUCAAGGAAACAAAAGAUAGAUCUACCAGCAGACAGUACUAAACUAAUUCUGUCAUUCACAUGAACAUUCUCCUACAAGCCACAGCCCAGAAGACUGUUAAUAUGCACCCAGCCUUAUCAUUUUCUGUUAAUAUUUAGUCAGUGUUUCCAAUAUAAUUGGCUGCUUCUUCAGAUCAAAGGCUUUUACAUAGGUCCUACAUGCAAAUCAAAUAGCUAUCCAUGGAACAUCAGAACUUGACUUGCUCCAUUCUCUUAUAGUUUUUGUGUCUCAUGCUAAAGAAAUGAGAGAUGCAGAAUUCUAAGGCUGAAUAGCUAGGAAGUACUCAUUCAAACUUGAAUAUUCUUCAAAGAGAGUGUGGGUCAAUUCUAAUCAGAGGAAGAAACAUAAAGGAAGUCAACCCAGAUGUUUUCCACCAGGGCCCUCCUUUUGGCUGGUCUGAUUUCCACUGGUUUUUGUGUCAAAAUGUUCUACAUUAAGCCAAUUAAGUAUAAAGAUCCUAUUAAGAGGGGACAGAAACUUGGAACUCUAUCGUCCUUGCAGAAAGUUUCUCCUGGCAUACAAUCACAUGUGCACAUUCAAAACUGUGACUUGAGUGAUCCUACUGCAUACCUGUAAAUGGAAGGCAAAUGGUUAGAUCUUCAGAAUAAAAAAUCAUCUUCUUAAAAACCUGAAUGCAUACCCUGCUCUUCAAGAAAUUGGUGUUCACAAAGGAUUAAAGCUUGAAGGGAUGGAUACUCCAUUUUCCAUGAUGUGAUUAGUAUAUUUUGCAGGCCUGUAUCAAAACAUCUCAUGUACCUCAUAAAUGUAUAUACCUAUGUACCCACACAAUUUUUUAAUUAAAAAAAUUUGAGUUUAAAUAGAAACAUGAUAAAUGCAAGGAAGAAAACAUUUUAACUCAUUGUCACUCUGAUGUUCCAGUGAACUGCUUUCUUCAAGCUCUUUUUGUCACCUAUAGAAUAUGGGUGGUUUUGUUGUUUAGAUUUCUCAGUCCCAAAGAUCUAAGAUAAAUAAACAAGGAAACUUAAGCUGGGCCAGGCUGCAUUUUUGACACCUUUAAAAAUAGCGACCUUUCUGCUUGAAAAUAAAAAGCCUGUGGUACAAGAACAGCAAGUGGUUUACAAUGCUAGAUUUAGCAUACAUUUAAUACAUACCCAAUGAAUAAGUUGAGUGUAGGUAGUGGACUCUCAGCAAUAUCCUUUGGUUUAUCAUAUUGGAUGGAGGGGGAGCUGCUUUCAUGGAUAAUACAGGAUUUGCUGGUAUUUCCAGCCACACUCGCCUACAUGGUUACAAAUGAUGGCAGUCCGAGAAAACAUUCCAGAUUUCAAUGAGGCUGCACUACAAGAAGGACUAGAAUGAGAACGAGGCCUACCUUUAUCUGAAGUGUCUCAUGGAGCCGGGCCUGCCAACUUCAUUUAGCCAUAUACAUAUUACAGCUACUUAUUUCUAUACAUUUUUGUAUUAUAUCUGUGUUAUUCUGUCUUAGUUAUAUUGACAACAGGUACUAAGAGGAAACAAGACCAUACAAAUGUCCAAGGGACCAGAAAUAAUUCUGGCUCCUUAGAGUUGAGCCAGUCAGUAAGAAAUAAGUUGAACUAAUCCUUCCGGAAACUUUCCUCAUUAAUUUCUGCUUAACUUUGUUUGGAAUGCAGAAAAUGACAGCAGAAUGUUUACAUUCUUAUGCGUAGAUUGUUAAACAUAAUUAACCAAAGUGUGUUAUUAGAGAAAUGGUUGCAUUUGUGCAUCAGGACAUAUGUAUAAGAAUGUUCAUGAUAUCACUAUUUUUCAGAGAAAAUCUUCAACGACCUAAAAGCCCACCAACAGUGAAAUCAAUAAAUAAUGUCAAAGUUAUAGAAUGUAAUAGUCGACAGCAGUCAUGAUAAAUGAACUCCAGUCCAGUUAAACAUAACAACCUGAAUGAAUCAUAGCAAUAUAAUUUUAAGUUUAAAAAGUCCAAAAGAUCAUAUAACACGAUAUUCUUUUUAUAACGUUAAAACAGUUAAAAUUAAAAUACAACACAAUACUUUCAGUCUUUUCAAUCUCUGUGUUUUAUCAUACAGCAUAAAAUUGGGGUUUGCUUUUCAACCCAAUAAGACAUUUUUUAAUAGACGAGCCCAUUCACAUUAAUACAAAUGGCUCAUAUAUUUGUACCCAAUAACUUUCCCUUUUUACAUAAUAAAAUUAUAUAAAAAUUUUAUAAUAUAUAAAUUUUAUACUAUAAAAUAAAAAGGGAAGCAAGAAAAUAAUGAACCCUAGUUAAAGCAUGACUAGCUAGGGAGGGCCACAUAAAAAGAUUUAAGUUACUAUCAACGCUGUAGUUUUGCAGUUAGGAAAUAAUUGCAUGGGUAUUUAUCAUUAUGAAUAACAUAUCACAGAAACAACAGGGCUUGCAUGUGGGUUGCCAGGAAGAGAGUUAAUGAUGACUCUCAGAUAGUUGAGAAUCUAUGUCACACAAUCCGCGCCUUCGUAUAUCUAUUAGGUUGGUGCAAAGGUAAUCGCGGUUUUUGCCGUUACUUUCAGUGGCAAAGUAUAUCUAGCACUGCCUGAUUUGAAUAGGCAUCUCCUUGGUACCAAGUAACUUUAGGUUGUUUCCAGACAUUUGCUUGCAAAAAAUAAAUGCUGUGCUCCAUUAAGGACACCCAAAAAGGAAAUAGCACAUCAGCUCUUCAAGGCAAUUUUCAAAGAAGCUCUAAAAUAUUUGCAUAAUAAAACCUAUGCUUAGUUUUAAAGAUAAUCAUCCUUCUAAUUAUUAGGAGGAACAAUAUAGGUGGAUAUGGAUAUUGCUUUAAAAACUAGACUCAUGACCUGGAAUGGAGAAAUUCUCAAGGUAGAGCAGGAACGCUUCCUUCCCUGGGCAUUCUCACAUCUGCUCAAUGGCAAUGCAAACUUGGGGCCAGAGAACUUCUUUCUCAGGAAGAACUGCAAUACAGCGCCCUCUAGUGCAACAAAUCCGUGUGGGUUUUUUCUUCUUUGUCUUACAGGUUUAGAUGUCAACCGUUUGGCUUAAGUAUAAAAAUAUUACAGCCUGCGCCGACUCCGCACCACCCACUGUGAUGGAGGCCGCAGCCCAGGUCUUCGUGGAGAGCCCUGACGUGGUGUACGGCCCGAGGCUAUCGAGGUGCAAUACGAGUACAGGACGACGCGUCAGCCGCGAGGGCGUCCUCAAGGUGCACCUACGACCACGCGCUUCACCUUCCGGACCCCCCACCCGUGCCCCGGCUCCGGGUCAUACUUGUCGGCUGGGGCAGGAACAACGGCUGCACGCUGACCGUCGCGGUGCUAGCCAACCCACCGCAUCUGUCCUGGCCCACGCGCAGUUGCCGCAAGGAGGCCAACUACUACGGCUCGCUGACUCAGGCGGGCACCUUGAGCCUGGGCUCGGACACCGAGGGCCAGGAGGUGUUCGUGCCCUUCAGUGCGCUGCUGCCCAUGGCGGCGCCCAACCACCUCGUGUUUGAUGGCUGGGGCAUCUCCUCACUGAACCUCGCCCAGGCGAUGCUGCGCGCUAAGGUGCUGGAAUGGGAGCUGCAGGAGCAAGUGUGGCCACACAUGGAAGCCCUGCCGCGUCAGCCUUCCAUCGACAUCCCAGAGUUCAUCGCGGACAACCUCGUCCCGGACUCACGCCCGCAGCAGCUGGAGCAGAUCCGUAGGGACAUCCCAGACUUCCGGUCUAGCUCGGGGCUGGACAAAGUCACCGUGCUGUGGACGGGCAACACAGAGCGCUUCUGUGAGGUGGUUCCGGGCCUCAAGGACACGGCCCAGAACCCGCUGCGCACCACUGGGCUCGGCCUGCAGGUGUCUCCCUCCACGCUCUUCGCCGUCGCCGGCAUCCGGGAGGGCUGUGCCUUCCUCAGUGGGUCCCCGCAGAACACCCUGGUGCCCGGAGCGCUUGAGCUCGCGUGUCAGCGCCAGGUUUUCGUGGGCGGAGAUGACUUCAAGUCUGGCCAGACCAAAGUCAAGUCCGUGCUCGUGGACUUCCUCAUCAGCUGUGGCCUCAAGACCAUGUCCAUCGUGAGUUACAAGCACCUGGGCAACAACGACGGGCACAACCUGUCCGCGCCAUUGCAGUUCCGCUCUAAGGAGGUGUCCAAGAGCAACGUGGUGGACGACAUGGUGCGGAGCAACCCAGUGCUCUGUAGGCCCGGCGAGGAGCCCGACCACUGCGUGGUCAUCAAGUACCUGGGUACCUGGGUGACAGCAAGCGCACUGGGUGAUUAAACCUCGGAGCUAACGCUGGGCGGGACCAACACACUGGUGUGCAAGACACGUGCCAAGACUCGCUGCUGGCCGCACCCAUCACACUAGACCGGGCGCUGCUGACCAAGCUGUGCCAGCCCGUGAGCUUCUGCGCUGACGCUGACCCCGAGCCACAGACCUUCCACCCCGUGCUGUCCCUGCUCAGCUUCCUAUUGAAGGCGCUGCUGGUGCCUCCGUGCAGCCCGCUGAUCAGUGCGCUUUUCCGCCAGCACAGCUGCAUCAAGAACAUCCUCAGGGCCUGCGUGGGGCUCCCGCCACAGAACCACAUGCUCCUGGAGCAUAAGAUGGAGCGCCCAGGGCCCGGCCUCAAGCAACUCGGACGCGUGGCUGCCGCCUGCCCUGUGUCCAACAAGAAAGGACUGGAACCUGCUUCCACCAAAGACUGCACUGAUGAUGCCAAUGGGCACCCACAAGUGGAGGAAGCCCAGAUGCCCACCACCUGAGGCCCCUGUCACACAGCUUCCCAGCCCUUCCUCUCUGCUGGCGCCCCAGGAACCCACCAUUCCAGGCCACCCCAAAGACAAUAAAGCCGCUGCCACUCUCAAAAAAAAAAAAAAAAAAUUACAAAGGUUUGAAUGACAGAGGAGUAAGAGUAGGAAGAAACUUACAUUUCGUUAGUAACCAUGAUGAUAAUACAUACAUUAAAAAUUGUGGUAUCAGAUAUUCUGUCAUGUUUGAUAGCUACACAUUAAUAAUGUGAAUAAAAUCAAUAUUUAUCUUGAAAAAUGUUUUGAAUUAUCUGCAAGAGAUAAAUUUAACAAAAGAAAAAGGAGAGAAGUGGCCAAUUUAAGAGGCCAGGUGACAAAGGGAACAAUCCUUGCAUCCAUUUGACAUUUAUCACACUCUGUGGCAUAUUUCAGCAAUCACACACCUGUUCCCUCUGUGCUAUGUUAUUCAUAAUAACAAGUACCCAUAGAAAGUCGGCUCGCCUCCUGACUAACCUCUCCCAUGUUCUGUACAAUACUAAUGAGGCCAGCAAGGAUCACAAGGAAG